UUAAAAUUGUUGCAGUUAAAACGCUCGUAGUUGAAUUUCAAAGAAUCAAUAUUUUAAGUAAUGCUUUUGGUUUAAGAUGCUUAGGCAAUACAACGUAUCUGCUCUUUGCAUUCCUUAUCCAAAAUGUGUUCUUAUUAUAAAAAGGAUUCUUUUUAAAAUCUCCUUUACUUUUUCUUGUACAGGAGAUUUUGUUACUUUGAGUAAAUUAGAGUGUUCAAAGCAAACAGUUAAAGCAUUUUACUGCGUUUGAAUACUACAGCAUGGAAUAACAAAAUUGAACAAGUCAAAACUCUGUUCCUUUUUCUUAUUUUGGCUUAGUUACGAUUAAUAGGAGUAGCUUGGGGGCAUUUGUAUUCAGAUGUCAGAGGUGAAAUUCUUAGAUUUUCUGGAGACAAACAACUGCGAAAGCAUUUGCCUAAAAUACUUCCAUUAAUCAAGAACGAAAGUUAAGGGAGUGAAGACGAUCAGAUACCGUCGUAAUCUUAACCAUAAACUAUGCCGACUAGGUUUUGGAUGAAAGAUUUUUAAAUAAGAAAAUUCCUUUUGGAAAUUUCUUAGAUUGCUUCCUUCAGUACCUUAUGAGAAAUCAAAGUCUUUGGGUUCUGGGGCGAGUAUUCGCGCAAGCGAGAAAGUUAAAAGAAUUGACGGAAGGGCACCACCAGGCGUGGAGCUUGCGGCUUAAUUUGACUCAACACGGGGAAACUCACUAGUUUAAGACAAGAGUAGGAUUGACAGAUUAAUAGCUCUUUCUUGAUUUCUUGGAUGGUGAUGCAUGGCCGUUUUUAGUUCGUGAAUAUGAUUUGUCUGGUUAAUUCCGAUAACGAACGAGAUCUUAACCUGCUAAUUAGCGGCGAAUACGUUAUAUUCCUACUUGAAAUUGAAUAUAGCUGAAUUUGCUUAUUUUGAAGAAUAUAUUAGGAUGCAUUAUAGUGUCCUUUUCCCUUUUCUACUUAAUUCGCUAUUCAUGUUGUUUCUUUUUUGUGCAGGAAUGUAUUCGUUUGAUUGUAAAGCUUCUUAGAGGAACGAUGUGUGUAUAACACAAGGAAGUUUAAGGCAACAACAGG
rnacentral:rRNA from 1 species